UACGGAGGGUGCAAGCAUUAAUCGGAUUUAUUGGGCGUAAAGGGCGUGUAGGCGGGGCUGCAAGUCAGAUGUGAAAUCCCGAGGCUCAACCUCGGAAUGGCAUUUGAAACUACAACUCUAGAGGAUAGGCGGGGAAAACGGAAUUCCACAUGUAGCGGUGAAAUGCGUAGAUAUGUGGAGGAACACCAGUGGCGAAGGCGGUUUUCUAGCUUAUACCUGACGCUGAGGCGCGAAAGCAAGGGGAGCAAACAGG
rnacentral:rRNA from 1 species